CCGCCGCUCCAGACCCCGGAGGAGGGCAGCGCGACCCUCCCCAUCUUGUUACUGGUACUCAGCCACUGGGGACACUGACUGAAUGUUCGCCCCUAACUUACCCGGAAAACACGAGAACUAGUUCGAUGUCGUUUCAACCUUACCAAACUCUGCGGAAACUUAGGAAAUUAUCUUUAGUGUCUAGAUAGGGGAAUUGUUAGAUGGACUUGAAGUCUCUCACCUCCUGUUGUACGCCUCCCGGAAGCAACACCAGGAGUCCAACGGGAUCCCAAACCAGAGCCCAACCAGUAUCCUAUAAAGUCUUCAGAGAGGGAUCCCCUCCAGGCUGGGGAGAAACAGGACAACCUAACAAAACAGGGCCUGGACUCCUCCCUAAACAGACCACGUUUUUCUCCGCUCUUCCCCUUCCCACUCCCUGAAAUCUAGACUAAAACUCUUUUAAGAUAACUGCGAGGUAUAAAGAACGUCUAGAGCCUAAGCGGCCCGUUGCCAGAUUCUACUCCUCAGGCCUCAAAUGCGGGCAAGGCCCCCGAUCACGUGAUACCGCCCCCCAACUCCGGGCGGAAGAGGCCAGCGACAGCGCUGCACGAAGCGAGUGGGCGGGCGCUCGUGCCCGGCUAAAAGAUGGCUGCUGGCGCCUGGCAGCCACCGCCUGGGAGGUUACUGUAAGGCCCGCAGCUCCCGCCAGCUCCCGCGGACUGCUGCCGCCUCCUUACCAUGAAGCCAGUAAGUCGUCGCACGCUGGACUGGAUUUAUUCAGUGUUGCUGCUUGCCAUCGUUUUAAUCUCCUGGGGCUGCAUCAUCUAUGCUUCGAUGGUGUCUGCAAGACGACAGCUAAGGAAGAAAUACCCAGACAAAAUCUUUGGGACGAAUGAAAAUUUGUAACUCUUCUGGAUUUAAUUAUCUGAAAAUACAGUUCUUUCCCUCAUGCUUAUGUAGAUAUAAAAAUAAAAUUCAUAAUGCAAAGUUCCCAAGUUUAUUUUUGCAUUAUCCUUUAUAACAAGCACUAGUAUGCAAAUUUUUCACUUAGAGAUUUUAGUAUUUUACAUUCUCAUGACAAAAUUAACAGCAACCUAAAUCUGACAGUCUUGAGUGUCAGAUCAUAGUUGGAAUAAGCUUUUCAAUCAAGUUUCUAAAUUCUUCAAAAAUGAUUCGGAAAGCUUUUUUUUUUUUUGAGACGGAGUCUUGCUCUGUCGCCCAGGCUCAGUGGCACUAUCUCGGCUUACUGCAAGCUCCGCCUUCUGGGUUCACACCAAUCUCGUGCCUCAGCCUCCGCAGUAGCUGGGACUACAGGAGCCCGCCACCACGCCCGGCUAAUUUUUUUGUAUUUUUAGUAGGGACGGGGUUUCACUGUGUUAGCCAUGAUGGUCUCGAUCUCCUGACUUCGUGAUCUGCCCGCCUCGGCCUCCCAAAGUGCUGGGAUUACAGGCAUGAGCCACUGCGCCUGGCCGGAAAGAUUUCCUUAAAACAAAAGUGCAUGGAAUU
rnacentral:lncRNA from 1 species